GACGAACGCUGGCGGCGUGCUUAACACAUGCAAGUCGAACGGAAAGGCCCUGCUUUUGUGGGGUGCUCGAGUGGCGAACGGGUGAGUAACACGUGAGUAACCUGCCCUUGACUUUGGGAUAACUUCAGGAAACUGGGGCUAAUACCGGAUAGGAGCUCCUGCUGCAUGGUGGGGGUUGGAAAGUUUCGGCGGUUGGGGAUGGACUCGCGGCUUAUCAGCUUGUUGGUGGGGUAGUGGCUUACCAAGGCUUUGACGGGUAGCCGGCCUGAGAGGGUGACCGGCCACAUUAGGACUGAGAUACGGCCCAGACUCCUACGGGAGGCAGCAGUGGAGGAUAUUGCACAAUGGGCUGAAGCCUGAUGCGACAACGCCGCGUGCGGGAUAACGGCCUUCGGGUUGUAGACCACUUUCGCCUGUGACGAAGCGUGAGUGACGGUAAUGGGUAAAGAAGCACCGGCUAACUACGUG
rnacentral:rRNA from 1 species